GAGUUUGAUCCUGGCUCAGAUUGAACGCUGGCGGCAUGCUUUACACAUGCAAGUCGAACGGCAGCACAAGGAGCUUGCUCCUGGGUGGCGAGUGGCGAACGGGUGAGUAAUGUAUCGGAACGUGCCUGGUAGUGGGGGAUAACCACUCGAAAGAGUGGCUAAUACCGCAUGAGAUCUCUGGAUGAAAGCGGGGGACCUUUGGGCCUCGCGCUACUGGAGCGGCCGAUAUCAGAUUAGGUUGUUGGUGGGGUAAAGGCCUACCAAGCCUGCGAUCUGUAGCUGGUCUGAGAGGACGACCAGCCACACUGGGACUGAGACACGGCCCAGACUCCUACGGGAGGCAGCAGUGGGGAAUUUUGGACAAUGGGCGCAAGCCUGAUCCAGCAAUGCCGCGUGCAGGACGAAGGCCCUCGGGUUGUAAA
rnacentral:rRNA from 1 species